CAUGCAGUCGAGCGGCAGCACGGGGAGCUUGCUCCCUGGUGGCGAGCGGCGGACGGGUGAGUAACGCAUAGGAAUCUGCCCGGUAGUGGGGGAUAACCUGGGGAAACCCAGGCUAAUACCGCAUACGUCCUACGGGAGAAAGCAGGGGACCUUCGGGCCUUGCGCUAUCGGAUGAGCCUAUGCCGGAUUAGCUAGUUGGUGAGGUAAUGGCUCACCAAGGCGACGAUCCGUAGCUGGUCUGAGAGGAUGAUCAGCCACACUGGGACUGAGACACGGCCCAGACUCCUACGGGAGGCAGCAGUGGGGAAUAUUGGACAAUGGGGGCAACCCUGAUCCAGCCAUGCCGCGUGUGUGAAGAAGGCCUUCGGGUUGUAAAGCACUUUCAGCGAGGAAGAAGGCCUUGGGGUUAAUAACCCCGAGGAAGGACAUCACUCGCAGAAGAAGCACCGGCUAACUCCGUGCCAGCAGCCGCGGUAAUACGGAGGGUGCGAGCGUUAAUCGGAAUUACUGGGCGUAAAGCGCGCGUAGGCGGCUGAAUAAGCCGGUUGUGAAAGCCCCGGGCUCAACCUGGGAACGGCAUCCGGAACUGUUUGGCUAGAGUGCAGGAGAGGAAGGUAGAAUUCCCGGUGUAGCGGUGAAAUGCGUAGAGAUCGGGAGGAAUACCAGUGGCGAAGGCGGCCUUCUGGACUGACACUGACGCUGAGGUGCGAAAGCGUGGUAGCAAACAGGAUUAGAUACCCUGGUAGUCCACGCCGUAAACGAUGUCGACUAGCCGUUGGGAGCCUCGAGUUCUUAGUGGCGCAGUUAACGCGAUAAGUCGACCGCCUGGGGAGUACGGCCGCAAGGUUAAAACUCAAAUGAAUUGACGGGGGCCCGCACAAGCGGUGGAGCAUGUGGUUUAAUUCGAUGCAACGCGAAGAACCUUACCUA
rnacentral:rRNA from 2 species